rnacentral:lncRNA from 1 species
UCAAUACAAAUGCUUCCGUUUCAUCCCAUAAACAAAUAAAAUUCACAUCUGUACACAUCUACUUUGCUUUGCUAGAUAGAGUUCCUCUGCAUUUCCCAAUUGCCUAAAGAGAAGGGGAAAAGAAAAAGAGGGCCAAAAAAUGCCUGAAAUGGUAAGGAACAAGCAAGUGAUAUUGAAGGACUAUGUGUCUGGUUUCCCAAAAGAAACAGACAUGUACAUGACCGAAAGUUCCAUAGAAUUGAAGGUGCCAAAAGGUUCAAAUGGGGUUCUUUUAAAGAACUUGUACUUGUCCUGUGAUCCGUACAUGCGACCAAGAAUGACCUACAUCGAAGGAUCUUAUGUUGAAUCCUUUAAACCUGGCUUGGUUAGUGCACUCGCUCAUGGCCACGCUUUUCAUUUCCAUGGCUUCUUGCUCUUUUGUUAUAGAAAAUUUAUUUUUGGUUGCAGUUUGGUUCGACUGCUAAAAUCUCGUGCGAUAAUUGUAUAAGAUAUCUAGAGUUUGAACUUCUUUCACAUUAGGGUUCAAGGAAGUUAACUUAAAUGAUUUUCAAAAUUUUAAAUGUGUACCAAUGAAUUUAAUUUCAUAGCUUAAACUUAUUGUUUGAUCAUACUCUAACUUUGGACAGGAAAAUUAUAUUUUUCCUUUUGUUCUUUGACUUCGUGUAUGUUGUGUGAAGUACUUGUGCUUGAAAAUGAAUUGCUGACACAGAAAUUUCUAUGAAUGCAUGCAGCCCAUAAGUGGAUAUGGGGUGGCUAAAGUUUUGGAUUCAGAGAAUCCAGAGUUCAACAAAGGUGACUUGGUUUGGGGAAUGACUGGAUGGGAAGAGUAUAGUCUCAUUACGGCUCCACACUUGUUUAAAAUUCAGCACACAGAUGUGCCUCUUUCUUACUAUACUGGAAUCCUCGGUAAACUUUUUGUUUGCGCAAUUUAUGUGAGCAAAUUGUGUCUUCUUUUUCAUAUGUAAAUGUUUUUGAUAUCUUGAUGUGAAGGUAGAAAAUUGCAUGUUUUGAGUUUUUGCAUAUUUGAUGGAAACACAGAACCGUACCUGAAUAUUUCAGAACCCCCUUUUCUUUGAAGUUUGAACACUUUUCUUGAAUGUAUCAACUUUAUUUAUGGGAUAUGUUGCCAAAUUGGCAAAUCUAUUCGUUAUAAAACUUUCCUUUGACAGUUUAAUCUAAGCAGAUGUUAAUUCUGCAAAUAGAGUGUGCCUUAGUUUAGAUUGAUAGAUUUGUCUCCUUCUGUACAGUAAAAACUUUGAGCAUUUUCGCCAUAUUCUGAUCAAUACACUCCAACUAGUUAGUUCUUGAGGCGUUUCCUGGUUUCGUGGAGUGAGCCAAGAUGUAUACGUUUGCAAAUUGGCAAUGUCUUUUGCUUGAUGUGUUGUGAGUUGUGAGUGUCAAUAGGAAAGUUUCAAAGUGCGCAGUGCUCACUUGAGCACCCAUAUUACUUGGUGACCUGUUGCCUCAGCAAACAAGACCUCUGUUUUAUGAACUCCAAAAAGUUAUUCUGUUAAAAAGAUCGAGACAGAGGCCAUACUAUAUUUAUUAUUGCUAUAAAAGUGUCAAACAAUAUUCUUUAUUUAAUAUUCUAAACGAUUGAGCCAUUUAGUUAUGAUACUCUGCUGUACUGGGGCUAAUAAUCUAAGUCGGUUCAAAGUGGUAAAUUUAUAAAUUGAUAGGUAUGCCUGGUAUGACCGCUUACGUUGGAUUUUAUGAGGUCUGCUCUCCUAAGCAUGGAGAGUGCGUCUUCAUAUCAGCAGCAUCUGGUGCAGUUGGUCAGCUUGUGGGGCAGUUUGCAAAGUUAUUGGGUUGCUAUGUCGUCGGAAGUGCUGGAAGCAAAGACAAGGUAUGUAAUCUGUGUGAACUACUUGAUUGUUUCCAUGUUACUUUCAAACAUUUAAAUUAAAAAGGAAAUUUUCAUAAUCUUGCCUUUUCUAUGAUUUUCAACACCAAGGUUGAUCUACUGAAGAACAAGUUUGGGUUCGACGAGGCAUUUAACUAUAAAGAAGAAGCUGAUUUGAAUGCAGCAUUGAAAAGGUUAGCAUCAAUAAAUGCCUUAGCUUGAUGCAGCUUGAUGAAGUAUGAUACACAUUUCUGACCAAUAUACUGCGUUCCCUGAUCUCUUACUUGAAAUAUCUUGGUUUGAGAAUCUCAUGCCAAUGCCUUUAACAUUUUGGCAGGUACUUUCCUGAAGGAAUUGAUAUAUAUUUUGAAAACGUUGGUGGAAAAUUGCUUGACGCAGUGCUACCCAACAUGAAAAUCCGUGGUCGAAUUGCUGCAUGCGGUAUGAUCUCACAGUACAAUCUUGACAAGCCUGAAGGUGUGCACAACUUGAUGUAUCUUGUUUCGAAACGGCUUCGAAUGGAAGGAUUCAUUGUUCUGGAUCACUAUCACCUCUAUCCAAAGUUUCUGGAAAUGAUCAUUCCUCACAUCAAAGAAGGGAAGCUUGUAUACGUCGAAGACAUGGCUGAAGGUCUGGAGAGUGCUCCGGCAGCUCUCAUCGGUCUAUUCUCUGGCCAGAAUGUUGGGAAACAGGUGGUUGCUGUUGCUCCUGAAUGAAGAACAAGUUAGUGUUGUGUGUUCUUUUACCCUUUGACACAAAACUUCAAUGUUAAAGAGAGAAUGCUGCUCAUACUGCUUUAUAAAAUAAUCAAAUGAGUGCAAGUUUCAUGAUAUGUGCUGAAUAAAAAUAUUGGAAAUUAAGCAGCUAGCCUAGCUCCUUCUUGUAGUUGCAGUUUGAAUGAUGCUGCUGCACAACUGCUGCCGAAAAAAUCCUUAAUAGAUGAUUAGCAAGGUUUCAAAAAUAAAAAUAAAUGUUUGUGCAAUGUGCCGAAUAUGACAGCCACAAAGAAAGAGCAUACAAAUUGACUGGUUUUAUGUCUUCUCUAGGAGAAAGCUACAAUACAAGAAAUUGUAUUGAUGCCAUGGACCAAAUUUCUUAUUUAAACUUUUAAUUUUUUUUUAUUAAAAUUACUUAUGUUAUUAUGGUUUAUAUUUUUAGAAAUUCUUUAGAAAUUAAUACAGAACUAGUAGCAAGUUGAGAAAUCUAAUGAAUGGUCGAGAUAUGAUCAUGUUUAUUGAAUUAAAUUGACAAUCAUCAUUUUGAUAAAUUAUUGUUAGGAUAUUUGAUUCAUCACAGGUGUAAGUAACUAAAUGUGCUAAAAAAAAAGUUAAUGAGUUGUGAGUGUUUGAUAUUCGUUUGUUGUAAUUCUUUUAAUAAUUGUUGUGGGAAAAAAAUUAUGGUAAAAAAAUUAUAAUUAUAAAAUAAAAAUUAAUAAUAUAUUAUAAAUAAAAUUUUUAAAUAAUAAUUUUAAUAAAAUAAUAAAUAUAUUAUGAAUUUUUCAUUAUAAAUUUUUAAGUUAAAAUAAUAAAUAUUUAUUAAAUAUUUUAAUAGCACAACUUUUAAAUUAUAACAGUACAAUGUAAAUACCAGAGGUCUUAAAAAAUAAAAUUACAGUCAAGUUUUAAAACUGUUAAUAAUGCUAUUCAUAAAGGCGCUCGUCGUGUAAACAACACAUGGGACCCAACCAAUAAAUGUUUAUGAUCCUCAACUUUCCUCCUCACCGUCCCUGCAAACAAUUCUGAUUUUCUUGUCUGAGAAAAAAACUGAGAAACAAUGGCGGCCGAACAAGAAGCUGUGAGCAAUAAGCGGGUGAUUCUAAGCAACUAUGUGACAGGUUUUCCAAAAGAAUCGGACAUGAAGAUAACAUGUGGAUCAAUAAAACUGGAGGUAGCAGACGGUUUAAAAGACACGGUGCUUUUGAAGAAUCUUUAUAUUUCUUGUGAUCCUUACAUGCGAGAGCGUAUGAGCAAGCUUGAUAGACCUUCUUUUGUUGAUUCAUUCCAUCCUGGUGAGGUUAGUUCAUCACGACCCAUCUCUUGAUUUUUUUUUUUUUUCAUUUGCUUCAAGUUUUGAUGAGUUUCUGAGGUCAUUUGUACGGUUUUGGAAUGUGAACACUAUUAGUGAUUUUGGGGCUGUAACUGUCAUUAAUGAUAUGUAGUAAUUCAAUCAGAAUUUGGAUUUAGUGCUGAUAUGAUCUCUGCUCAUUUUUUAAAAUCUUGUGUCCAGAUGCAUUUUUAUAAUCUUGUACGGUUGAGAUUGUAAGUAGAUUAAUCUACGUGCAGUAUUCUUGUCUAAUGACUACUAACCACAACCUUAUGAGACGAUCGAAACCAAGCUCAGAUCAAUAAUCCAAUUGAGAGAGGGUCCUAACUCAAGCUUAUCGUGUGUAGGAAUAUUUCGGUUAAAUUGUAAUUCUUUUAAUAAUUGUUGUGAAAAAAAAAAAGUUAUGAUAAAAAAAUUAAUAAUUAUAAAAUAAAAAUUAAUAAUAUAUAAUAAAUAAGAUUUUUAAAUAAUAAUUUUAAUAAAAAAUAAUAAAUACAUUAUCAGUUUUUCAUCGUUAAUUUUUAAGUCACAACCACAAAUAUUUACUAAACACUUUAACACCAUAAUUAACACCACAACUAUUGAAUUAUAACUGUACAAUCUAGACGCCAAGAGGCCUUAGUAUGAAAAAAAAAAAUUACAGUUAAGUUAAAAUUCAUCAUACAGAUGUGCCACUUUCAUACUAUACCGGGAUCCUCGGUAAUGAUUUUUGUUACACAAUAAGAUUUGCUUAUAGUAAUAUCAAUACAUAUGCUGCUUAAAUGCUUUCUGAUUUUUUGCCGGCCAUUGUCCAUUUUGCCAGGGAGUCUAUAAUUGAAGGAAUUUACUGAAGGAAUGCUGAUUGUUGGGAAUUUGAUUAUUCUAGGUAUGCCUGGUGUAACUGCAUACGCUGGUUUAUACGAAGUUUGCUUUCCGAAGAAAGGAGAGUAUGUCUAUGUAUCUGCAGCAUCUGGAGCUGUUGGUCAGCUUGUUGGACAGUUUGCAAAAUUAGCUCGUUGCUAUGUUGUUGGAAGUGCAGGAAGCAAAGAAAAUAUAGCACCGUGCCUUCUAGCAGAAUUUUACUUGCUUUAUGUUCCAACUAAGCAUCCAUAUUUGAUCAUGAUAAUUAGCAAGGUCAAUAAUUUUUUUUUGACUAUUUUUUCAACGUAAGGUCGAUUUGUUGAAGAACAAGUUUGAACGAUGCUUUUAACUACAAGGAAGAGCCUGAUUUGGAUGCAGCACUCAAAAGGUCAGCUGCAACAAACGUUUCAACUCUAAUAUUUCAUUUUAAUAUUACAGAGCUUUGGUUGAAGUGUGUGAGUUGAUCCCAGAAACGUAACUUCAUCAGUGUCUCUGUUUUCAAAAAACAGGACAAAUAGAAAUCUGAUUUUGCUUUAAAAUUUCCCAGAUGCUUCCCUCAAGGAAUCGACAUAUAUUUCGAAAAUGUUGGGGGAAAGAUGCUGGACGCAGUGCUACUCAACAUGAGGCUCCGGGCCGCAUUGCAGUAAGCAGUAUGAUCUCACAGUAUAACCUGGAAAAACCCGAAGGCGUUCACAACUUAGAGCAACUGAUCGGGAAACGGAUUCGCCUGGAAGGAUUUCUAGCUGGUGAUUACUAUCACCUCUAUCUGAAAUUCUUGGAACUGGUCAUUCCUCCAAUCAGAGAAGGAAAGAUGCUGUAUGUGGAAGACAUGGCCGAAGGACUCGAGAAAAUUUCUCGUAACUGCUACACAUUAAACGCGUUUCACAUUUCCACUCUCUUUCUAUAAAUAAAUACGCACAUAAAAUUUCUCACCAUCCAAAAACAAAAUCUACAUAAAAAAUGGCGGGUGAAGAAGCAGUGAGCAACAAGCAGGUGAUUCUGAGCAACUACGUGACAGGGUUUCCCAAGGAAUCAGACAUGAAGAUAAUAACAGGCUCAAUAAACCUUAAGGUGCCAGAGGGUUCAAAAGACACAAUGCUUUUGAAGAAUCUUUAUCUUUCUUGUGAUCCUUACAUGAGAGGACGUAUGAGCGAGCUUGAUAAGCCUUCGUUUGUUGCCUCAUUCGAGUCUGGCGAGGUCAGUUACUUCAAUUCCCAUCUCUUGGUUUCAUAAUCUUUUAUGGUUUUAGAAGGUGUUUUAGGGAAACAUUGUGGUUUUGGUUAGUGGGCAUGAGUCUUUGAAGAGAUUAUAAUGUGUAGGACUAUGCAUGCAAUAAUAAGCAUAGGGGAUCUUGUUAGGAGAAGAUUCUCUUAGCAAAAUAAAAACUUUUAUCUUAUCAAAACAUAUGCAGGGAACUUAGUUAUGAUGUCAUGUUAGCAUUAUCUCUGAGGAUUUGAUUUCUUGAUGGGGAAAGGGGAAUUUAAGGUUACAUUAUUCAGCAAUGUUUUUUUUUUAAAAAAUUAUGUUCAAAUUAUGCAGCCUUUAAGCGGAUAUGGAGUGUCCAAAGUGUUGGAUUCCACGCCUCCAAAUUAUAAGAAAGAUGACUUGGGUGGCGUUUGUUUUUUAACUUAAUGACUUAAAGUGACUUAACUUAAUUAAUUAAGUUAAUUAGAGAUGUUUGUUUUUAUAACUUAAUGUGACUUUUUAAAUAAUUUUGACUUAAUAAAAUAAGCCAAUUUUAUUUACUUUUUACUUAAUAGAGACAUCUGAAUUAAGUCAAGUACUUUCUAAUGUCAAAAAUAUACAUGCUUUAUAAUUUAUUUUUCAUGUCUAUCCCAAAACUCACCCAUAGACAUUUACCCCACAUAAUAAUCUCAUCAUUAUUUUUUUAGCCGUCAUGAAAUCCCUCCUCACUUUGGUAUCAACUCCUCAACUAUUGAAGAUCAAAAUUACAUGCGACAACUUCGAGAUGAAUGGCAAAUCAACUGUUUCAAGCAUCUUAUUCGUUUUUUUUCUUUUUUAUAUUAUAUACGAUAAAAUUUGAAAUUUAUGGUAUUUUAUAUAUUAAAAUUCCAAAAUCAUUAUAUAUUCACUUGAAUAUAGUUUUACUUAUAAAUGUUAAAAUAUUGUGAUAUUUAAUAUAUUAUUUAUUUGACAUUCAAAUUUAAUAAGGAUACAAAUGUAAAAGUACAUAUUUUUCAGUUUUUUAAGUUGAAAAAAGCAAACAACUUAAUAAUUAUUUUUCGAGAUUCAGACGAAAAAACAAACAUAUUAUUCAGAUUCAGACAUUCAGAUCUAUUCAGAAUUUAGACUAAUUCAGGUCUAUUCAGAUUUCAGAUAAAAAAACAAACGCCACCUUGGUCCGGGGCUUAACCAGUUGGGAGGAGUUCAGUCUCAUCCAAUCACCACAACUUCUGAUUAAAAUUCUGGAUACAAGUGUGCCUCUGCCAUAAUUAAUUGACAGGUUGCUAUGUUGUUGGAAGUGCCGGAAGCAAAGAAAAGGUGAGUUUGCACCCUUAACCCUUACGCUCUAAAUAAAAACAUAACACCUUCUGAAAGAAUUGUGCAUAGAGAAUUUUGCAUGUCACAUUAUUUGUGUUCUAACUAAUCAUGGAUAUUUGAUCAUUAGUCUAACUAAAACUGACAUAUUACCACCUAGUUGACUGGUCUUUGAGAAAUGUUAGUUGAUAUAUGCUUGAAAUCAUACUUGUUUUAUUAGAUGAUUAUAUUAACCUGCUUCUUUUUCUUUGUGCUGUUUCUCGUUUGAUUACAUUUUCAACAUUAGGUCGAUCUAUUGAAGCACAAGUUUGGGUUUGAUGAUGCCUUUAACUAUAAGGAAGAGCCUGACUUGGAUGCAGCUCUUAAUAGGUUAGCACGAAUGAAUGCUUUAACCAUUUUUCUCACUUCAUUAUUACAAUGCGCUGAUUGAAGUAAUCAGUGUUGGCUCUGAAAAUGUAACGUAUACUUCUCUGUUUUCAUAAAACAGGACAAACAGUGAUCAGUGAUCUCAUUCGUUACAUUGAUAUUUUCUACCAUUGCCAUACAUAGUAUAAACUAGGAAUUCAGUUGCUUAAUAGAUAUUCAUUUCAGAGGGAAAUUUUCACUUGCAGCUAACAGAAUCAUGUUUGUGAUGUAUGUUUAUUUGGGAAAUGAAAGGAUUUGUUGCAUUAUUUUAUUCCAAGUUUGCUGAAAUCAUAUUUGUUUUCCCAGGUGCUUUCCUGAAGUUAUCGACAUCUAUUUCGAAAAUUUUGGAGGUAAGAUGCUUGAUGCAGUGCUACUCAACAUGAGAAUUUGUGGCCGCAUCGCUGUAUGCGGAAUGAUCUCACAGUACAACUUUGAGAAGCCUGAAGGUGUACACAACUUGAUGCAAGUAGUUGGAAAACGAAUUCGCAUGGAAGGAUUUCUUGCCAGUGAUUUCUACCACCAAUAUCCAAAAUUCUUGGAACUGGUUAUGCCGGCAAUCAAAGAAGGAAAGUUAGUAUAUGUCGAGGACAUAGCUGAAGGCCUCGAGAAAGCUCCAUCAGCCCUAGUUGGGAUAUUCACAGGUCAAAAUGUUAAAAAACAACUGGUUGUAGUUGCUCGGGAAUGAUAUGAUUACUAUAUGCUUUAAAAAGUGGACUUUGCCAUGCACUUUAAAAGCUUAGUGAAGAUGCCUUUGUCUUAUUUUUGAUACAUGUUAUGUUUGUUUGAUCAAGUUGUACUCAGCUAUAAAUCAAAGAUUCAGAACAUGUGUAUGAUACUGGUUUCUAAAUCAAUGAACGCGUUGAAAUGUUAGUGUUUUCACAGGAGAAUGCAAUUUAAUUCAUCAACAAUGUCCCAACAAGACCCUCAGAGCUGUAGCUUGUAAAGUUAAUUACGAUAUUUUUUUGUAAAGUAAAUUACCAUAUUUUUUUCUUUCCAAUAUAUUGCUUAUUUCAUAGAAAGUUUACAUUAAAGUCUCAUGUUUCUUUGAAAGGUAAGCAAGUGUGAACGUUUCAAUCUAGAGCUGGAAAAUGCAUUUCCGGGCAACUUACUUGAUACAUGAAGUUUUCAUCUCUGACCUUGAUGUUUCCCAUAGUUGCAUUCAUUUCAGCUGAUCUAUUUAAUUUUGUUUUCGAAGGAGUGACACAAAAUCUCCUUUGUUAAGGGGAGAAUUUAGAGUGGCUUUGACUGUUAGCAAAUAGCCUAAUGUAAGACUUAACCAACUUCCUGCCCUGUUGUAUGCUUAUGAAUUUUGAUAGAGCUAAGAGUUUGCAGAAGCUACUGUAUUAUUUGUCGUUAGAGGCUGUAAAAAUCAAACACAUUUAAAUUUCAAUGAAAAUUUACUGGAAGUAAAUUUCCUAUGAUCCCACAGGUGACUAAUUAAUGAGAACUUGACAAUGACAAAAGAAAGUCUAUGAACUUUGCAGGCUGGCAUGCCAAUAUUGACUGGGUGGCACCAUCCACCAUCUGCAAGUGAAUAUCAUUGUUGUUUAAUCAACAAGGUGGAGUCCACUGGGACCACACCACAUCGUCAGCCUUAUCUCUAUUCCUCAAUUUUCAGUAUUCCAUACAUCAAACCAAUUUCAGUUUUGUUAUCAAUUAUAAUUUUAUUGUUGGUGACGAUUCUGAUUCCUUUCUGACAAAAGGGAACCAUGGCUGCUGCUGGAGAGAUCUUACUCAACGCCUUCUUUCAGGUACUGUUCGACAGGUUGGCUUCUCGUAAUUUGCUCAGCUUUGUGCGUCAACUCCAAGGCGGGGUUGAUUCGGAGCUCAAAAAGUGGGAGAAAAAGCUGAAGAUGAUUCGGGCUGUGCUCUGCGAUGCAGAGGAGAAGCAACUGACUGACGAGGCUGUGAAGAUGUGGCUGGACGAACUCCAAGACUUGGCUUAUGACGCUGAGGACACUCUUGAUGAGUUUGCUACUCAAGCUUUGGAAAGCAAGUUGAUGGCGCAAAAUCACGAUAGUUCUGGCCAGGUUCUCAGUUUCAUCCCGGCUGGUUUGAAUCCGAAUGCUAUUAUGUUCAAUUAUAGCAUGGGGUCCAAGAUGAAAGAUAUUACUAGCCGGCUGGAGCAACUCUGCCAAGAAAGAAUUGAACUUGGACUGCAACGGAUUACCGGAGAGGCAUCAUCAACUGCUGCUGCUGCACACCAGAGGCCACCCAGUUCGAGUGUCCCAACAGAACGUGAAGUAUUUGGAAGAGAAAAAGAUAAGGCCAAAAUUCUUGAUAUGUUAUUAGCCGAUACCAUAAGUGAUCAUGCUAACUUUGUUGUAAUACCCAUUGUUGGCAUGGGUGGGAUAGGAAAAACAACUCUCGCUCGGGAGGUUUACAAUGACAAAGCCGUUGGAGGUUCCAAGUUUGAUGUAAAAGCAUGGGUUUGUGUAUCUGAUGUCUUUGAUGUUUUGGGCAUCUCAAAGGCACUUCUCGAGUCAAUCACCCGCAGGCCUUGUCUUCUAAACAGUUUAAAUGAAGUGCAGGUUGAAUUGAAAGUAGCUGUGGAUAAGAAAAGAUUCUUGCUGGUCUUAGAUGAUGUUUGGAACGAGGACUACAGCUUGUGGGUAGACUUAAAAGCUCCGUUCCUGGGUGCUGCACCAAACAGUAAGAUGAUCGUCACCACACGCAAUUCAAAUGUUGCAUCAACAAUGGGACCAAUUGAACAUUACAAUCUCAAGAGUCUGUCAGAUGAUGAUUGCUGGUCCAUUUUCAUAAAGCAUGCAUUUGAAUCUAGAGAUCUUAACGCACAUCAAAUUUCAGAAUCAUUCCGCAAGAAAGUUGUUGCCAAGUGUGGAGGCUUGGCCCUGGCAGCAAAAACACUCGGAGGCCUUCUGCGUACGACGAGGCAUGAUGCGUGGGAUGAUAUAUUAGAGAGCAAAAUAUGGGAUUUACCUCGACAAAGUGGGGUUCUCCCAGUAUUAAGAUUGAGUUACCAUCAUCUUCCUUCUCAUUUGAAAAGAUGUUUUGCUUUUUGUGCCAUCUUUCCAAAAGAUUAUGAAUUCACUGAGAAGGAGCUGACUUUCUUAUGGAUGGCUGGAGGUAUUAUUCGACAGUCAAGAAACAAUGAGCAGCUGGAAGAUUUGGGCAGCAAGUGCUUUGGUGAUCUAGUGUCGAGGUCAAUUUUUCAGCAAACAGCAAGCUCUGAUAGUUCUAAAUUUGUAAUGCAUGACCUUAUUCAUGAUCUUGCUGAAUUGGUCUCUGGAGAAACCAUAUUCAGGUUAGAGGAGGCCAAUACUCUGUCAAGAAGAUUUGAAAGGGUUCGCCAUUCUUCCUAUGCUUGUGGUGGAUGUGAUGGUAAAAAUAUGUUCGUGGUUUUCAAUGAAAUUGAACAUCUACGAACAUUCUUGCCAUUACGCUUACGCAUAAGAGGUGGCUCUAAUACUAGUUACAUAACUCGUACGGUUCUAUCUGAUUUGCUGCCGAAGUUCAAAAUGUUGAGAAUGCUAUCUUUACAAGGAUACCGUAUUGGUGAGUUACCAAUUCCAUUUGAAGAUUUGAGACUACUAAGGUUCCUCAACCUUGCUGACACUGACAUAAGAAGUUUACCUGAGUCAACAUGCAAAUUGCUGAACUUGGAAAUUUUGAUAUUAAGAAAUUGUUCCUAUUUGAUAAAGCUUCCGCAGAAAAUGAGGAAUUUGAUCAAUUUACAUCACCUCGAUAUAAGAGGUGCGAAGUUGCUGAAGGAGAUGCCAUUCGGAAUGAAAGAGUUGAAGAAGCUUCAAACAUUGUCCAAUUUCAUCGUGGGCAAGGGCGAAACUGCAUCUGGUUUGGAAGAUUUAAAAUGUUUAAACUUUCUUGGUAAUGAACUUUGCAUUGCUGGAUUAGAGAAUGUGAAUAAUCCACAGAAUGCAAGAAGAGCCGCAUUAUGCGAGAAGCUCAAUCUUGAAGCAUUGACUCUAGAAUGGGGGUCUCAAUCUGACAGUCCUCGAGAUGCAGUACCAGAAGAGAAUGUACUUGACACUCUACAGCCGCAUAAACGUAUAAAAGAGCUGGCAAUCAGACACUAUGGUGGUGCAAGAUUUCCACUUUGGAUCGGAGAUCCUUCAUUCUACGAGAUGAAGGUCCUUAAAUUGGAGAACUGUGACAAUUGUGUAUCUUUGCCGUCGCUUGGCCUGAUGAGUUCACUUAAGCACCUUGCUGUUAAAGGGCUGAAGAAACUAAAAAGCAUAGAGUCUGAGGUUUAUGGGGAGGGUUUCUCAAUGCCUUUUCCGUCACUGGAGAUUCUAAGUUUCGAGAAUUUGCCAGAAUGGGAGCAUUGGGACACCGAGAUCAAAGGAAAUGCGCCUGUUGAUUUAUUUCCUCGUCUCCAAGAACUUUCCAUUGCAGAAUGUCCCAAACUCUCUGGACAACUGCCUGAGCUCCUGCCUUCCUUGAAGACACUUGUUGUUAGUAAAUGUGAAAAGUUGGUAGUUCCAUUGUCUUGCUAUCCAAUGCUUUGCAGAUUAGAAGUUGAUGAGUGCAAAGAACUAGUCUGCCGGACUCCGAUUGAUUUUAAGUUGAUAAAGUCCAUGACUAUUUCAAAUAGUUCAUUAGACAUGAAUGGACGCAAGGGGAUGUUAUACGAUGGUCCAGCUGGCUCUUCACUGCCAAACCCCAUGACUACUACAAAUGUUUUAGAGUUUGGAAAAUUAUUGAAGCCUGGAUUUCAGAUAUUCGAAACUUUGGUAAUUGGCAAUUCUGAACAGCUCAAGUUAUGGAGGCAGCAUGGGGAUUUUCCGAAAAAAUACAUGGUCACUGACCAUGGGUUCAAGAAACCAGUACGAGGGCUGAAUAUGCUCGCUUCCCCUGAAGAGGUAACAAUUGAAGAAAGUUGCGUACGUCUUGUUUUGAUUCCAGAGAUCAAUUUCCUUCUCAGAAAUCUGCGCUCUCUUAUAAUUAACAACAGCACUGCUUUCAAAUCCUUACCCGAGGAAAUGAUGGAAAACAAUUCACAACUCGAAAGAUUGUAUAUCAGAGAUUGCGACUCUCUAAUAUUCAUCGCAAGACGGAGGCUACCAGCAUCUCUUAAAAGGUUUGAGAUAGGAAAUUGUGAGAAAUUGCAACGUCUGUUCGAUGAUGAAGAGGAUGCUUCUUCUUCUUCUUCUCCUUCAUCCUCGUCUUCCCCAGUGAUGCUGCAACACCUGAGUAUAGAGAACUGCCCAGAGCUCACCAGUUUAUCAUCGGGUGUCCAAUUCCUUGAGGCGCUUGAAGACCUCGUGAUACAGCAGUGUCGAAAGCUGGAGUCAAUACCGGAUGGCCUGCCCAAUCUUAAAUGUUUACAGAGCAUUAAUAUACGGGAAUGUCCAAGUCUUGUUUCCUUAACAGAAAGAGGGCUUCCCAACACCAUUUCAUUUGUUUACAUUUGCAGAUGUGACAAGCUCGAAGCCUUGCCCAAUGAUUUGCACAAACUCAGCUCUCUUCGAGAAUUAUUCAUACAGCUCUGUCCAAAUCUUGUAUCGUUUCCAGAAGAAGGUUUUCCUACCAAUCUAACAACACUUGUAAUUGGAGAUUUCAAAAUGUAUAAGACACUCGUCCAGUGGGGGUUGCACAGGCUUACCUCUCUUAAACGCCUCUGGAUUGCUGUACGUGAUGAUGAAGCAGAGUGUUUUCCAGACGAGGAGAUAGGAAUGACGCUGCCCACCUCUCUCACUGAUCUGCACCUUUUUGAUUUCGAAAAAUUGAUAUCUCUGUCUGCGACGGGUUUUCAGAGUCUCACCUCUCUUCAGAGUUUGUGGAUCGGGAAUUGCCCGAAUCUCACAUCAUUUCCAGAGGUGGGCCUUCCAUCCUCACUUUUGGGCUUAGACAUUAGAUAUUGUCCAAAGCUUAAAACAGCGUGCAAAAGAGAUGAAGGAAAAGAGUGGUCCAAAAUUGCUCACAUCCCUCACGUUGAGAUAGACGGUAAAUUCAUAUACGAUCCAGAAGCAGAGGAGUAGGUUCUACUAUUAAGGUCAGUUGAUUUGUAUUAUCCGCUAUAACAAGCUCCUCCUUUUUUAUUUUUUUUAAAAAUAAUAAUUUUGCAGUCACUCACGUGAUUCCGUUUUCACAAGUCAGAUUGUAUGUUGAGGCUAUUUGCCUUUUAAUCGCAGAUUAAAUUAUAACACUUAUCUUAAAAUUUAAUACCAUACACAGAUAGACGAUUUUUUAAUCCAAAGUUUUUUUUAUUCACUUCAGUUAGCAUUUUUUUUUUCCCCAAAUCAUGCAAGCCGAGAGUUUCAAUCAAGAAUUGGAGGAUGUGAAUGGGAUUUUUGUGAAAGAGUAACAUAAUGGAUGAACGAACAUUUCAUAUGUGAUCUCAAAGUCAACAGAAUUUUAUUCACUCGUUGACUUUUCAACUGCUGUGGUUAUUUAUGGGUGAAAGAUAAGGGCAAUUACAAAAAAUUUGCAAAAUUUGUCAAUUUCUUAGAUGGUAGAAAUUGGAGUAUAAUAUUUUGGAGCAAGCAUACUUGAAAUUUCUGUCUUCAAUAUUUUGAUGCUUUCUUAUCCCAUGCACAAAAGUACUAGAAAAAACUAAUAACAACUAACCGAAAAUCCCAGGCGUCAUAUUCCUUUUUACCGCGUUUUAAAAUGCACAACAAUGAUAUUCUUACAAAUUUGCAAAAUUUGUCAAUUUCUUAGAUUUCAGAUAUUUUAAUGCUUUUUUUAAUUUUUGAUCUAGUAAAAAUACAUAGCCUUCACCGGCAGGAUUCUAGUCUUGGCUUUCACCUCUCUAACUCAUCUGUUCCCAUUGGGAUUCCAGAAGCUAGAAAAAUGUGUAGUUUUCAGAUAAGGAGGCUUGUCAGUUCUCUAGUAAGAAUCCAAUGAUUUGCUUUUGAACGUCCAUCUAAUUUGUGGAUCCUUGCAUCAGAAUUUGAUCAAUCCAAAAGGAAUUGCUUUUAGACAGAAGAAGAAUAGCAGCACCUAGCCUACCCGCAAACCUGAAACUAUUAGAUUGAGGUAAAAAAAUCAUUGACCCUCACAUGUUAACUUCUUCUAGUUACUUUCGUUGGGAAAAAAAAAAACAUUUAAGGAAUUUGCAAUUUGUUGUUAGUUAUGGUAUCUGAUGUUCUUUUCUGCUUUAGCAUUUGUAGAAUCUACUGUAUUAUGUGUUGGCAGUUGCCGUAUCUGAGGUAACUUGCCUUUAUUUGUUUGCUUCUGACUUAAGGACACCAACAUUUGCCAGAGAUUUAGAGAAUCAUCUCAAAACACUUAGCAAACUUGACAAACUUCAAGAUGCACUUGCCCCCACGCCUUAUUCUCAACAACGCAAAACUUGUGAGUACACCUAUGCCUGCAAUUAUUGUGAAGUGUUCGCAAUUCUGAUGCAGAGAAAUGGUUUCUUGAUGCAAAGUAUUAAACUGUUAAGAUUUAUCCUGCAGGCUUGUUAGAUGCUGGAUACGCGAAAAGCCAACAACAUCAAGAACUGCAACUCCAAGACCAGCUUUGCGUUAAUUCAGUCAGCUGUAAUAAUGAUGCAAAUGACACUAUAUCAAGCUGGACUUAGAGACUAGUCAGAUAAAUCAUCCAUUUCAUCAACGGUUAAUGUCAUGAUGGUGGCUAUCAGAGGAAACAAAAGAUGUGUCGGAAUCUAUACAAACAUUGAGAAGCAUGAGAGGAGCUUUGAUUUUGAGUAGGGUCAAUGAACUCAUAUUGGUAAGUGGUAAUUAAAGAAACUUUGUAAGCUUAGUAGAGUUUCAGUAUUUUCUGUUUGGAGUAUAGUUGAUAAGUUGACUCUGUUUAAGAAGCCCGAUUAUAGUAGCUGACUGUAUUAACCUUUUUUUUUUUUUUUUUGGGUCUGCUGUUGUUUUUGGUUUCGAUUAUUUUUUCAACAUUGGGUUGAUCUGUUGAAGAACAAGCUUGGGUUUGAUUAUGCUUUAACUACAAGGAAGAGCCAGACUUGGAUGCAGGCGUUAAGCUUUUAAUGGGUAAGAACAAAUGAAUGCUUUAACUAUGUUUCUCACUUAUUAAAAUGCACGGAUUGAAGGCAUCUGGGUUGAUCCUGACAAUGUGAUGGAAAUACUUCUCUGUUUUCAUAUAACAGGACAAAUAGAGAUCUCUGAUCAUGCCUGAAUUUUUGUUGCAUUGAAAUUUCUACCAUUAUCAAACAUAGAAUGAACUAGGGAUACAUUAGCUUAAGACUAAAUUUUGAGAAGGAAGUUUGUACUUGCAGCCUAUAAAAUCAUGUCCAUGUUGUACGUUUCUUUGGGAAAUGAAAGAUUCUGUGUGUUCUUUUAUUUCAAGUUCACUGAAAUCACAUUUGUUUUCUCAGCUGCUUUCCAGAAGGUAACAACAUCAAUUUCAAAAAUGCUGGGGCAAGAUGUAUCAUGCAGUGCGACUCAACUUGAGAAUUCCUGGCCACAUUACCCGUAUGUCUAAUGAUCGCACAGUACAACCUUGAGAAGCUUGUAAUGAGUACACAACUGGGUGCAAGUAGUUUUGAAAUGAAUUUGCCUCAAAUGAUUUCUUGCCGGUGAUUAAUAUAACCUCUAUUCCAAAAUUCUUGGAACUGGUCAUACUAGCAAUGAAGGAUUGCAUACAUUGAAGACAUAGCUGAAGGCCUUGCGAGAGCUCUGUCAGCCCUUGUACCGGAAAACAGCUGGUCGUAGUCGCUUGUGAAUGAUAUGAUUAAUAGAUACUGCAAAAAUGAAUUGUGCCAUACAUUUUCAGCGCUCUGUGAAGAUGUCUUGGUCAUUUGUUUGAUGCUUGUUUGAUUUAUGUUGUAUUCAGCCAUAAAUCAGAGAUUCAGAACUUGGGUAUGUUUCUGGUUUCCAAAUCAAAAAAUUGCCUUGUGAUGUUAGUGUUCACUGUUUUCACAGGAGAUCAGGUUCCUUGUUAAUGAAUCAAGAAGAAGGCAAGCGCAUCCAUGUCCAAGUUCAAAUGUGUCUCCUCUAUUUUCUAUUACCCACUCAUUUAUUUUGAUUUCUUCAUUGUAAUUGAAUUAGUUUUUUAUUCCAAAUUAGUCAAAACCUCGUAGAGUCAUUAAGUUCUUUUAGCAUUUAAAGACAGAACUACGAACCAAAUGAUUUAAGUUCUUCGUUGUAAUUGAAUUUGCUUUCCCAUCUUUAAAGAUAUUAUGUUCUUUUUCACUUUUUCGAUUUGGUUAGUGGUGAUUUCUUAAAGACUCAAUCCAUUUGCGUUAAUACAUUUUUCUUUUGCCUUGAUUUCUGUUUCUUGGGGAGUUUAUACAUAUUCUUAUUUUAUGCUACACAUGCCAUAUACAGAUUCUUAUUUUAUGCUUCACAUGCCACAUGAAAGGUCAAAGCCUUGUGUGUGAUUAGAAUUUACUGGCAUCAUAGUAACUUUAAACCAUUGUGACGUUUUAGUAAUAACAGUCUGAGCUCUCCCUGAAGGAUUCAAAGCAUUUUAUUUUAUAUUAUACUCCUUUAUAUGGUUUGGCUGGUCUCUUUUAAGGCAAUUCCUGUUUAAAGUAAUCAAAAUUUUGAUUUCGAAGUGUCUUUCAACACUACCGCUAGUUCUUUAAGAAAAGUAAAUCGAUUUUGAGUCUUCUGUAUCAUCUGAUUGAAAUACAUGAAAGCACUCUUAGCUGCAAAAGUACACUUGGAGUUAUAAUAGCAUUCUGAAAUCUCCUUGAAGGAUUCAAAAGCUCUUUAUUUGCUAGUCUUUGCUUGCAAUAAACUCCUUUAAUAUACAUUGGUUGAUCUUCUUUAAAGCAAUUACCAUAAGUUCUUUAAAUAAUAAAACGAUUUUGAGUCUUCUGUAUCAUCUUGUUGAAAUACAUGAAAGCACUCUUGGCUGCAAAAAUGCACUUGGGGUUAUAUAUAAAGUCUUCAACAGAAUUUUAUUUCCCCCUUUAUCCUCAUGGUGGUUUUUUUAGUUGUUUUUUAAGAAAUCGCUUGAAGGUUCUCUUUAAAAAUAAUUUUAACAUAAGCAUUCUUUAGAAGCACUUUAGAUGUCUGGCAUUUAGAAAAUUUUGUUCCUGUGUUCACAUAAUAUAAUAUAUAUAUAGAAAGCUGACUGUAGAAUAGAGGAGAACGAGUUGGUGUUGGUCUGAACUCUGAUCUUUGAACCUCAUGUGACUCCACUACUUUUUACUUGUUCUGUACAAGGUCUUUUAGCUUUUCAAAAAGUUUUAGCUUUAUGGAUAAAAUACUGUUAAUUGUAAUCUAUAAAUAAUGAAAGGAAUUAAUAAAAUAUUAGGUAAAUUUUAUUUUCUAAAGUGUUAUGAGUUCUAAAACGGCUGUAUGUAUAUAAAUUUAUUUACACAUAUAUUUAUAAAUAUGAUUAUAUAAUAAUAUUUUAUGUGUACAUAUCAUAAUUGAUAACUAAAAUAAAUAUUUUUAUUUUAUUAAUGGUUUUUUCGUCUCAAUGUAGUUGGUAAUAAUAAUCUCUUUAGAUGUAACGAUUUUAUUUCCUAACUGAAUAAGGAAAAUUUUAGAUUUUUAUAAUAAAUGUUAAAUAUAUUUAGAAUUACAUUAAGUAUGAAAUAAUCCUCAAAAUUAGAUUUUGAAAAGUUAUUCUUUUCUUGCUUUUAAAAAUAUGUCAUAUGAUGAGAUGAUUUUACUAAAAGUGAUUUUUUUAAAAAAAAUUACUAAACAUCAAAAUUAACUCUUAACUUUUUAAAAUCAUUUCUAAUCUUCUCAUCCUAAGUUCUUUAUUGUUUUGUACAAAAUCCAAGGUUUUGACUUUUAUAAAAUGCCCACUCAAAAAUAAAUUAUUUUCUAAUUAAGAUUUGUUGUUAAUGUAUAACUCGAAGUAAUAUUAGAUAUUUGUAAUUUUAUUUCAAAAAUUUUAUUCAAAUGAUAUGGCAAGCAAUGAACAAUAGUUGAUAGCAAUUUGUUUUUUUUUUUAACAAUGUUCAAAUCAAUCAGUUGCAUUAUCUCACCAUUUUUAUGAUGUCAUGUUAUUUUAAAUGAUUUUUUUAAUUUUUAUAUAAAGCAUACGACGUGUUAACAUCAUUUGCAUAACUUGACCUUUUUUUUUUCCUACAAAUAGUAAGUCAAAUUUACUCACCCUAUUUGUACCUAAAAUCUACCUAAAACUCAUGCAUCACUGUAAAGCAAAUCCAAAGAUUGCGGUACGUUUUUCUUGGUAAGAAAUCAAUAAUUAGGUCAAGUACCGCUACUAAGCGUGCUCAAUUAAUUCUAAAAUACGGUGAUCAAACUCAUACUUCACGCAAGAGGAUAAGGGCUAAACCUCAAUUAGGCAUUAUUCAUCCAAAAUUCAUUGACUGGGCAUUCUUUGCAAGUGGUAGCAUGGGACAGCUAAGAUAAUUAGCAAAUGAUAUGGACCAUACGCACCCGUAUGUUUGUGACAUGUGAAUCUUGGCAUUAAAGGAAAGGUAAUGUGUUAAAAUUUAAUAGAGCCCAACUCUUCAUUGAAUGAUUAUCAGAUCCAACGAGCAUCCUUUGAUGGGAUUAUUUUAAGUCAAUUAUUGGUGGAUUGGGGCCCACUUGACUCUACCAAAUCGGGCUCCACCAUAUCACCUAUUAACGACCACCUGUCCUUAUCAUAAAUAGCAAAUGUCACUUGUUUUAUUUUGUAUUUUACCAAAAGCAAAGUCACUACGAGCACUAAUGAAAGUGACCCCAAUUUUGGGGGUCAUGAACUUGGGAUUAUUAUGGACACAAGAGACAAGCGCAAUGUUUCUCAUUUCUCACUAGAUAAGAUUUAAGUUAUCAACCCAAUAUUAAUAAAUUCUGCUUGAAAAGUAAAGUUUGAAGCUUCAUUUUGCGAAUAUUCAAUGGUUAACAUUUAAGGGUGCGUUUGGGAUUGAGGUUGGGCAGCUGUAGCUUAAAAGCUACAGUACUAAAGUGUUUGGUAAACACUAGCUACUGUAGCUUUUAAGCUAUGUUGAUAUAAUUUUUCACUUGUAUAAUAUAAAAUUUAUUAUAUCUUUAAUAAUUUUGAUAAAAUUAUUAUUUAAAAUUUAUAUUUACUAUAUAUUAUUAACUUUUAUUUCAUAAUUACAGCUUUUUUUUCACAGCAGCUGUAGCUUAAAAGCUACAGCACCUCAAUCCCAAACACACCCUAAGUAAUUAACCUGAUAUUAAUCCAAUUAAACUUUUUAUGUAAUCCAAGUCAAACAUAUAUUGAUAAACCUAAAUUAAUCUAAUUGGACAUAUUAUUUCAACUUGAAAAGGUGAAUCUAUCAUUUUUCAAUUAAUUUUGAAUCAAGCUAUGUAAAAUAUAAGCUUAUUAAGGACAUAUUUGAAAAAUUCAAAUUGAAUUAUUUGACAAUUACAUUUCAACUAAGUUGUACUGCUAAUUAACUUCCUCAACUUAAAAUGUAUUUUUCUCAAUUAAUUCGUAACAAAGAAUGUUAGAUGUUUUGUUCGAAUAAUAACAUUCAACAUCCUUAUUCUUUAUGAUUAUUGCAUAAAAAAUAUAUUUUAUCCAUUUACGUCACAUAUGUUCCUAAAUUGUAUAAGAAAAUCACUAAAUUUACUCUUGUAAGUUACUAUAUCAAUGAACAUGAAAUUAACUAAUCAUUAAAGUCUCGGAAUGACAUCAUGAGGGGGAUUCAGUUACAUUUAUUGAUAGGAUUAUAUAUAUACCUUCUCAAAUAUUAGUAAGAGCAAUUAAACAGAUGCAGCAAUUAAAAAUAUGGAAUUACUUAUCUCGUCAAUAACUAACGAUAUUUUUUAUCUAUGCUCGAUAGGCGUCUGAGCUAUAUUAUAAAUUGUAAUAUUUGUAGAUUGUAACAAUUAUUAAAAAAAAAAAAAAAAGCUCCCUAAGACUAAAUGACAAAAGGACUGUUUUGAAAUAGAUAGAUAAAAUAUGCCCUUAUUUGAGAAAAGGUAAAACACUAGGGAUCUAAAUGUUAUUAUAAUCCCAUGCACAAAAAUACCAGAAAAAACUAAUAACAACUAACCGAAAAUCCCAGGCGUCAUAUUCCUUUUUACCGCGUUUUAAAAUGCAACAAUGAUAUCACUACUACAAAAAUGACAUUUACUGACACUUUGUUUCUGACACUUAGUAAAAAGUGUCAGAAAUGGUGUACAUUUGGACCAUUUUCCUCCUUUAACAAGUAUGUAUCAUAAAUCAUUGAUACUAAGGUGUCAGUAGCUUAAAACUCAGUGAUUAUUGAUACUAAAGCAUCAGUGAUAAAAAAAUAAUAGUAUUAAUUUUGUUUUAAUUUGAACUCGAACUCAAGAUCUCUAAACUUAAAAUUUGUAAGUUUAGAGUGCAAACCAUUGAUGCAAGUGUUUUUAAAUUUUCAAUUUGAUUAAUUUUUUUAUUUAAUUAAAUUUUAUACAAUUACUUUGUGGACAAUAAUAAUAAUAAUAAUAGUUUUGAGAAUAAUAUUUUUUAUUUUGCCACAUGUCAGCUUGUAAUUCGUUGUUAAUAAUAAUAAUUUUACUUGACCACGUGUCGACUUAUAGUUUGUUGUUUUAUUAAAUUACAAUGCGAACAACUACACUAUAUAAUUUUUCAAAGUAUAAAAUGAAAAUAAGAAACCCUAAAUCUAACCUAAUCAAACACACCACUUCUUAAGUUGCUGCCGCCGCUCCCCUGCUCCUUGACUUUCACUGCUGCCGGCCGCUGCUCCUCGACUUUCACUGCUGUCGGCUGUCGUUCCUUGACGUCACUGCCGCCUUUGCUCUGCUGUUGCCAAGCUUCAGCCACCGACGACUAGCUAGCCACCUUUCAGUACGUCGCUGCUACCACUUUUAUGCCGUCACAUCAACUUCAGCUCAGCCAGCCACCGUUCCUUUACCGCCGAGAUCAAGAACCAUUUCUUUCUCUUCUCUCUUUUGGUACAGGUAUGAAAAUAUUGCAGAGGAGUUAAUCUGUUAAUUACCUUUCUGUACGUCGCUGCUGUCAUUCGUGUACGUCAUUGCUGCUACUCAUCUUGGUCACUGCUGCCGCUCCUCUGCCGCCACGACAAGCUUCAGCCUUUUUGACAAAACAUUUCACUUGGAAUUAUAAGCAAACCCUUUUGAGACCAUAAAAAACUAAGCCAAUUUCUUUGGUUUCAAGGCCUUGUUUUUUCACUUUGAAAUCGGAUCAUACAAUGACAAGCCAAUUGAAAACUUCUGUUCAAGAUUUCAUUGUUAAAUUCAGCUUUAUUUUUAUUAUUUGUGUUCCUUUCAUUUUCUUUCCCUUUUUUUGAUUUUUAAUUCAAUUUGGGAUUUGACAGAUAUAUUUUUUAAUUUUUAUAAAAAUUUAUCUUAUUUGCAGGAUGCUAAGGGACAGGAUGUUGAUCUUAGCAUCUACAAGGGAAAGGUUCUUUUGAUUGUCAAUCUUGCAUCACAAUGGUGUGCCUCAGCUCCUUUCAUUUUUAAUUUUUUUUCCAUAAUGAUUUAUUGAUUAUUGUUGAUGCUUCCAUUUAAUUAAUGCUAAUACGUGUUAUCUAUCUAUCGGGAGUCUAAAUUUUAUAGAAUUAUAUCAUACUCGGAAGUAUGCAUGCUCCCAAUACAAAUAAGUGUUUAUAAGAGAGGAUUUCACCCAAAAUCUUUAAUUCUUGCAAAAUGCUAGUGGCUCCGUUUGCACAAGUUUAGUUUUCAUCCAUGUUCGUUCCUUUACCAUAGCGGUUCCUUUACCACUGAGGUCAGACACCAUUUCUUUCUCUUCUCUGUUUUGGCACAGGUAUGAAAAUACUACAGAGAAGUUUCUCUAUUAAUUACCUUUUAUGAAAAUAAUAUAUAUAUAUUAUUCACAUGUUUAAUUGAGAACAUCUAAUAAUAUAGUAAUAAUAUAGUGGGCAAACUAUAGGAAGGUUGUUAGUAGACAAUUCUAAUUUUAGCUUUACUUUGCAAAUGAAAGAUUAGAAAUAUUCCGUCGAACCCAUUUUACUAUAUUGGAGGUUUGGGCUAAUCUUGUAUAGAUUUUUGCUCAGAAGAAGGAUGGUUCUCCAAGGGCGGUGGGUUGGUUUUUCUAUAGACUAUUCCCCUAUUUUCCCAUUUUGCUUUUCUUUGAGGAAACCUGGUCCAUUUUUUUUGUGUUUUCUUUCUUCAAUCAAAUAUGUAUUUCUCAAUCUCCUCUCAAAAAAUACCUAUCUCAUUUUAUUAUAUGUUUAUGAAUUACUAAUUGUAUUUUGUUAGUAUUCCAUGUUCGAAGAAGAAUAUUAGAUUGAAGAAAGAAGAAUAUUAGAUUGAAGAAAGAAGAAGUUGUUCCUUUGCUAAUCGUUUGAAACCCAGGUUUGCACUGAAUCUGAUUUUUAUCUUUAACUUUUUUACUUGACCCAUACUUGAAUCAAAUUUUUGCUCCACUUUCCUUUCUUUCGUCAAUUUAAUUAUCAAUCCACUUCAAACCUAAAAAGAUUUAGUAAUUGGGAAACCCUUUUUUUUUUAAAGAAUUGCAAAGUACUGUAAUUGGAAACUGGGUUCAUGUCUUAAAAAGUAACCUGAUUUGUAAUGUUUGGCUUAUAGUGGCCUUCUAUUUCUGUUUUUCAUCUCGGCUUGGUUAAUUUCUUUACUAGUCGUUUAAAUUUUGUUAAUUUUUAUUUUUCCUCUUUAAGCUCAUUAAAUAUCUUUUUUUUUUCAAUUUAUGGCUUUCGGUCCAACUGAUCAUCGUUGAAUGUGGGCACUAUAAAUGUUAUAGUGCUUGUUAACUUAAUGUAUUUGAUCAUAUAUUAUAGUAUUGUUUACUUUAAAUUUAGACAAUGAAAUAGAUUACAAAAAAAAUAACUUAUGCUUGUCAAGUUGUAGACACCAUCGUUCAUGUCAUCAUUACUGAAUAUUGAUGUACUUAUUAAGUGUUCUCUUUAAUACUUGAUAGAAUACUUUUGGUGAAGCAAUUUUGGUAUCAUGAUUGCAGGCUGUAAUUAACUUGGGAACGUGUAGAUUCUACAAUUUCUUUUUCUGAUUCCUUAACUUGCUUCUUUUAAUCCUACUCUUCUAUGUUGAAGUAAUUUAUGAAUAUUUUUGCUUCAAAAUAACUAAGAUAUAUUUUUCACAGUAUACUAAUUGAUUUUAUGCAUUUGUAGGUGGGAAAAAAAUGAAGCCGUGGAUGGAUAUUGAGUGACCUUGUGCUUUUUUUUUUUUUUUUUUGGGUUGGAAACUUAAUUGAGUAGUAGUUAGCACUUGUUGUUUAGAGAUUGUUGAAAAUUUAAUUUGAUACUUAUGUUAAGUCUUUUACAUAUAGUGAUGUAGUUGAAUUGUGUGAAUUUAUGUGAUGUAUUUGAGAUGUUUAUUAUAUGAAUUGUGUUGCAAGAUAUUUAAUAAUAAAUAUAUUUCGUGUUUUCUUUUGGUUGUACAACAAACACGAAAAAUAUAAUUAAAAUAAAAAUAUACUAUUAACCAAAAGCAGUAUAACAUUACUAAAUACUGACACUACAUAUUUAAAAUAACAAUAAGAAUUUUUUAUAUUAUCGAGUCAGUUUCUGAUACUAUAGUCACAUAAAUUACUGACAUGUAAAUAGUAUCAUUAAAUACCAACAUCAUCGUGUCAUUAUUUUAGUGAUACUAUAGUGAAACAAAUUACUGACACAAAAAUUACUGACACCAAAAAUUAGUGUCAGUGUGUUCUGGCUUGAGCAACACUGACACAAUUAACAAGUGUCAAUAAAAGUAAUUACUGACGCUAAAUUAGUGUCAGUAAAACUCAUUUUUCUAGUAGUGUAUUCUCACAAAAGUUGGUACAAAGGUUUGUACAACCAGGGCCUCUUUGUAAAUUAUUUCAAAGUUUUGUGUUAUUUUUUAAAUUUAUGAAUUUUGUUAAUUUUGAUUGAUUGGAGCAUUUCUCCUUCCAUCUCUUCUACAUCUAUCUUUAAAUUUCUUUAAAAUUUUGACUAUAUCUUUAUAGAGUUCUAAAUGAUUAUCUUUUUCAUAAAAAUCUAUACUUAAAUUAAUCCCUGAAUUUAUAAUCAUUUGUCUUCUUUGAGUCAUAGACCAAAUUUUUUCUUCUAACAUAUCUAUAUAUACUCCUAAGCUAUCUUUGCAGCUUAGAUACAUUCUAUCAAAGCUUUCGCAUAUAAAUUGUAAUUUGAGAUCUGCAUCUUGAAUCAACAUGUCUAUAUUAUCCAUUGUUUUACGCUCGAUUUUGAGUUCUAUUAUUAGUCUUGCACAUGUCUUGGAUUAUUUCGAGGGUAGUUAAAAUUGAUUCUAUUAAUGCUAUCCUGUUUUCUUCUUCAAAAGAAUCAAAUAUUUCUGAAUCAUUAAUUUCUUUUAUUUCUUCAUACAAGCGUUUGUUUGUCGCUAAUCUUGUUUUAAUCAAGGAAACUGUAUAAGCAGCUUGAUAUUCUUGACAAAAGUCUAAAUGAUCUAUUGCAUCUAGAAAUUUAUUAAUAGAUCUUUCCAUUUUUAAGAAAUUGAGUUACUCUUAUCACUUCCAAUCUUUUAACAUCUCAGAAAACAAACAAGGCCCAACAUGCUUCCGUUUGUAGCUAAAAUAAAAGAAGAGUUCAUAUCACUAACCAGUGUAAUAUCUCUCGGAAUUCUGAGAUAGACUCACUAAUUGCCUCUAACCAUAGAGAGGUCCAUGGUUAGCACCACUAUAGCUCCACAUAUCAUACAAAAUCACUUCAACGACUGUUCCAUAUGGCCCAAAGCAACACACAGCAGACUGGCCUAAUAGGAUAUGUUUAAGUGAUUUUCUUGCAGUUGUCUCUGGAAGAGUGCUUAGUAAUAGAAAAUCUUCUUCGUUUAGUACAAGUAUUGGCAUGUAAGGUUCUUGGUUAAUUUUUAAAAGAUGUAUAAGAUAUCUAGAAGAUGAUAAUUUCACUCAAAAGAGUUUUAUUUAUUCCAUCAUUGAAAUUGUUUACAGAGGAAGGUUACAGAGAAUACAGAGGUAAUUGAAGGUUAGACAUCUGAUAUAUUUCCUUUCUUACAUGCUUUCAUUUAUAUAUCUCUCUAGAGAUAAGAUUAUUUCUUUUACAUAACACAUGUUCGAUCCUUGUGGUGGAAUCUCAAUUUCCUUUUGAUAAGGUGACCCCUUCUUUAUCAUUGAAGCUAGUAGUUGUCUUCUUUUCAUGUUGGCAGACAUGAAAUAUCUGGUUCUGGUGAGCUUUUUCUUUUUUGGAAUCUGUCUUUUUGAAUUAUUGAUACUUUUUGGAUAGCACCUUUUAUCUUUUUCAGUGGUCCUCGUCACGUGCCAAUUAUCAGAUCUUCAUCUAUAGACAUGUCUUCCCCACUAGAAUCUCUUUUUUUGAUCCUUCGUAGUAGUAGCCACAUGAUGAUUGAUGCUUUAGCACCUUAUAUAUCUCGUGGUGUGUUAGCAAGGUGGAUUCCACGAGAUUUUCGAAUAUGCCCUUUUUCUUUUCUAAUAUGUUAUCCUCAUCUUUAUCAAAUUCACAUUUACAAUAUAAUUCUUUGAAGCUACAUGUAUAUUCUUCUAAAUAACAUAUAUUACAUAUUUCAAGCCUUGUUAGCUUCAUUAAAUUUUCUAUCUGUUUUCUUUUUAUUUCUUGUUGAAAAUCAAUUUCCUAAUCUUCUCCCAAGAAUUUUUUUCUUAUUUCAUUUUUGAAUCUAUUUAAAACCUGAUCAACACUUUCGUUUCGAUUAUUAUUUUCUCCAUACAAUAUUCUAUUUUUAUGGUUAUCAUUUAAUCCCAUAAACCAAUGAGAAACAAUUCCUAUAAACGAAAUUUUAAGGAAUUCUAUACUAUUAUCCCUAUCAAUUUUGUGAAAUGCAAAAGCCAUUUUCAUAGAUUUAACCCAAGCGGUAAUCGUUUUAUCUCUAUCUUUGAUACAGUCUAAAUCUAACCAUACACCAUCAUGGUUGAUUGGUCUUUCUCUAUAUUCUCCUGGAGUUUUAUAAUCUUUUUUAGGCUUGUUAAUCCUAAAAUAUUGACCUUGUAAUCUUUCCUGAGUUGGUAUUUCUUCCCUAACAUAGGAAGCUCCAUUACUAGUUUCUCCUUGUUAAAAACCAUUUGGCUUUGAUUCAUUCAUUUUUAGAUGUUCUAUUCUAUUUUCAAUAUCCUGCAAAUUAAUGACUAUAUCACCUUCUUCUUCGGAUUCAGAUUCUUUAUUAGAUAUCUCUUGAUUAGGUAAUUCUAUGUUUUCACUUAGCAUUCUUAGACUUAUUAAUUUUUUGUCUUUGUUUAUUUUGUUAAAUAUCGGUUUAGAUAUUGUUAUCAUUUCUUUAUCUUUAAGUUCAUUAUAGUAAAUUAUGGUAUCUUGUAAAAUUUUGUUUUGUUUAUUGAUCUUCUGUACUUCAAUCCUUUUGUAAUUUUCCAUUUAUGCUUAUAGCGAAUUUAUUACCAAGUUGUUCAACAAUUUUUUCAAAUUUUUGUAGUUGGAUUUCAAUCUUGUUUGAAUUUAUUUUCAAUUGAACUUUUGUUCAUAAUAUUAAAGAUUUCUUGUUUUAAUCUAUCUUGAUCUUCAAUAUUAAAGUCUUUUAUUAAUAGCUUAACAAAAUCAAAUUCUUCACUCAUUCGCUCUCCUAUCAUUUUGACUUGUCUUAUAUUUUCAGCAUCAAAGCUUUUAAUCUCAAGUAUCUCAUUUAUACUUUCUAUAUCAUCUAUGGUUAAAUUAGGGUUUCCUAAUUUAUUUAAUAAAUAUAAUGAAAUCCAAUUUAAUUGAUUAUUUCCCCACAUAUCGGAAUCAUUUACUAAAUCAAAUGGUUGAAAUCUUCCAUAAGUAAAUCCUCUAUGCCUAUAGCUAGAAGGUGGUAAUAUGUUGGUUUCAAUAUUUUGAGAAAUUAACAAUGGUUUUGGUAAUUUAUUCAUAGUACCAUCUGCAUAAUAUCUCAUUAUAUUCUAAUAAGUAUUUAUGACAUAUAAUAUUUCUUAUAUCCUUAGGGAUAUUGUUUUAUGUUAAUCCUUUAUGUAUAUAGCAAAGUUUAUACAUAAUUAAAUCUUUAUAUCCUAUUAGCAUGUUGCUAGAAGGAUAAUAUUUACUUCUGAUUCUUUUAUUUUUCCAAUUGUAUUCACCUCGUUGUUUAACAUUUAAAAAUCCGUUGUAAUCUAUUAUAAGAUCAUCUACAUAAUCUUCAAUAGAGUUAAUAUUCCAUUGUUUCCAUGAAAAAUUAUUUCUAUAUACUUCUCUCCUGAUCCUAAAGAGAAGAAUAGGAUCAAUAUUUAAAUUUCUAAUUUUUAUUAUGAUGAGUUCUCCAAUUUUAAAUUCAUGAACUCUAACUAAAUAAAACUGUAUUAAUUGUUUAUCAUCCAAUAUAUUAACUUCUGAAUAAUAAUAUUGUUUAUGUUUUGUUAUAUUAUCUUUAAUUGUAUUUCUAUCUAUCAUUAAAUUAUAUCUUCCAUUAUUAAUGGAAUAAAUAACUGUUUCGUCUAUUUUUAUAUUUUAAACCAAAAACUUGGCUCUAAUACCGUUUUGCAGAAAUCAACUAAACCCAAAAUCCAAAUGAAUUCAAAUAGGGAUGUAUAUGAUUAAUUGUUAAGAUUUUAUCUAAAUUUUGUAAUUAUAAUUUUUCAAAACUCACAGUUUUGUGCAAUCAUUUGUGUAAUCCGUUGUGAGAAUGUCUUUUUCCUUGCAUCUAAGGCAACAAAGUGGAAAACGCGUACCAACGACUCACAUAACAAUAUAACAUCUGUCCCGGAUGGAGCCGGUUGUUCAUGUCAGCAACCUACUUUGAAACGACACGUGGACCGCAAUUUGUUCUUGUUCUCAACGUUGCUAUGAAAGAAAGCAUUUUUUUCCCCUUUUCUUCUUCAUUUUUUAAAGAAAUAUUUUACUAUAUAUUUAAAAAAAAAAAUCGUUGCAAUCUGAAGAUAUUAAAUUGUGGAUCUUGUAUUGUGUGAUAAGUCCGGCAUGCAAUUUUGGGCCAGCAUACCGCGCGCAUGGGAGCAUUCACAAAGAAUCUCUCGUCACUAUCGAAAACUUUUAAUAGUCAAUACAAAUGCUUCCGUUUCAUCCCAUAAACAGAUAAAAUUCACAUCUGUACACAUCUACUUUUCUUUGCUAGAUAGAGUUCCUCUGCAUUUCCCAAUUGCCUAAAGAGAAGGGGAAAAGAAAAAGAGGGCCAAAAAAUGCCUGAAAUGGUAAGGAACAAGCAAGUGAUAUUGAAGGACUAUGUGUCUGGUUUCCCAAAAGAAACAGACAUGUACAUGACCGAAAGUUCCAUAGAAUUGAAGGUGCCAAAAGGUUCAAAUGGGGUUCUUUUAAAGAACUUGUUUGGGAGAAAUACGUCGACGAGACCAGGCAUGGUGAGCAUAUAUCUGAUGGCAGAGUUCUGCGAACCGGUGUGUUCCGUAAAAGCCUGGUGCACGGGGGAACAGGAGCAGAAGUAUCCUGCUCGUCCACGAGCACGUCAUCCGCGAGGCCAAUUUCCUGUAAGAGGCAUAAGGUCAUUCCGGCUAGAGGUCGAGAGGCGAGGAGACCCGGUCGACGGCAGUUGGCAAGACAUGCUCCCCAGCCCGAGAAUCUAGGCACGACAGCCACGCUUUCCCCAGAACCGUGGCGUAACACGCAAGAUCUCACAGAACCACGACAGCCACGCUUUCCCCAGAACCGUGGCGUAACACGCAAGAUCUCACAGAACCACGACAGCCACGCUUUCCCCAGAACCGUGGCGUAACACGCAAGAUCUCACAGAACCACGACAGCCACGCUUUCCCCAGAACCGUGGCGUAACACGCAAGAUCUCACAGAACCACGACAACCACGCUUUCCCCAGAACCGUGGCGUAACACGCAAGAUCUCACAGAACCACGACAGCCACGCUUUCCCCAGAACCGUGGCGUAACACGCAAGAUCCCACGUUUGCCCAUAACGCAGCAGUCAGAGUCCCAUACCGUCUCGGAAAAAGCGGAAAACUGGGAUUCAGGGGAAGCCUAUAAAAAGGUAGCCAACGAAGGUAAAAGGGUUGGCAUUUUUGAGAUUAUAAAAGAAAUGAAAAAAGAAGAGAAAACGACGAGAAAGCCAUAAGAUCUGUGGCAAGUGUCCCCCGAACCUUCAUAUCUGACUUGAGCGUCGGAGGGUUUGCGCCGGGAAAACAACCGGCGUACUCUGACUUGUCUGUGUGCGCAGGAACCUCUGGAGAAGAAGCCUCACGUGGAGACCUCCUGGUCGUGAAGAAGUUGAUCGGACAGAGAUCCUGGUCGUAGAACGAGGAGAACCAGAAUCCCGCAUCAACAUUUUGGCGCCGUCUGUGGGGAGUGGAGCAAAAAGCUUCUGUUGAUAGCAAGAAGAGGGGUGAAGCAAGUGAAAAGCAAUGGAGACAGGAGGAAGUAGUGCACAAGGGGGUGAUAGGAUUAACGAUUCCGUGACGCUGAGGGAGAUAGUCAGUGAAGCACGGGAAAAAGUCAUGUUCGACCGGAUGGAACGGAUAGAAAAGCAGAUGGAGACCUUGACAACCAUCCUGCAUGAGCUGCGGAGCGAGCGAAGUAUAAUCCAAGAGGGAAGGGUGAGAGGCGGUGGAGUGGCACCAGGUCCCGAUAGUGCGGGGAGAAGUCAAACCACCGGGAGAUUUGGUGGUGAGAGAGGUAACGUACCUCUGCGGGGAGAAUUUCAUAGAGAAAGAGAGCAGUCCCCGGCAAGACAGACUGGCGACGAGGACGACGGGGUGGUGAAUGCAGAGGAAACAGAGUUGAGGCAACACUUGCAUGAUGUAGAGCAAGAGCGGGAUUAAGUCGCAGCACGUGACCCUGGUCGUGCAGUGCAGCUGGAGGAGGAAGUGCGCAGACUAGCGCAGAUAAUCGACGACAUGCAAGGAAGGAACAGAGCCCCUGGUUGGAGGAUAAUGCUGGAUGGAGAAUCACCGCUCGCAGCAGAGAUCAUGAGGGCAGUUAUUCCGAGAGAUUUCCGCCUCCCAGACCUCAGAUACUCGGGAAGAACUGAUCCGUUGGUGCACAUAGAGCGCUUCAACGACAUAACUAGGGUACAAGGAUUAUCUCAAUCCCAAAGGUGCAGAGUGUUCCCACUAUCCCUUGAGGGACGUGCACGAGAAUGGUACAGGAAACUUCCUCGGGGCAGCAUUAAAACCUUCGAGCAGAUGUGCUAGGAAUUCGCGGAGCAGUUUAGUGGGGCAAUGGCGCCGGAAGAUGACAUGAUGGAGCUGAAAAGCAUGAAACAGGGGGAGCAAGAAACCCUUCGGGAAUUCAUCAAGAGGUUUCAUCGGGCUGUCCUCGACUUGGGAGCCUUCAACCACCCUCAGGCGUUAAGGGGAUUGAAAGAAGGGGUGAAGAUAGGAAGGCUGUGGUACAAUUUGAGAAGCCCAGCUAUUCAAACGUAUGCAGCCGCAUACGAACAGGCUAAGAGAGACAUCGAGAUUGAAGAGGAGAAGGCUGCACGGAUUAAGACAGACCAGUUAGAAGGGCUGGGGAGGAAAGAGAAGAAAGCAUUACCGGGGAAUGGGCCGAUCAGGAGGAGGGACCACCAGGCCUCCGGUAGUGGAGCAGGAGGUCGGGUAGCCGCUUACCAGCCUCAUCAAAGGCCACCACAGUAUCAGCGCAGCAGGGCGCAACCUCCUCGUUCCCCAGCUAGGGAGCCUUGGAAAAGGCAUGAGUCGGCAUCUGGUGGUCUCCAACAACACCCCCACGGUAUCAGAGCGAGCAGACCAGAAGUACUUCCACCGCCCCCAACUCAGAGCGGGGCAAACAGGGAAAGAGCAGUGCACCUGAUCGACCAGAACCCGGACUAUGGGCGGUACACUUCCUUGAAGAUGUCCCUGGAUGAGGUGUACGAGGCCAUAAAGGAUCGAGGGCUGCUACACCUCCCUACACCAAUAACAAAGCUACCUAACAGGAGGGAUAGAGGACGUUAUUGUAAGUUCCAUGGCACCCAUGGCCAUACCACAGCAGAGUGUAGAGAUCUCAAGACCCAGGUCGAAGAUUUGGUGAGAAAUCGGUACCUGGACGAGUUUAUGGAUGGGACUUUCCCGAUGGGGGCCACAACAGGUGAAGGGGAGCAGAGUGGCGGAAACGUGAGGCGCGAGCAGCCCGCAGUAAGGGUGAUAGCUGGGGGCCCGACAUUGGCCGGAGAUUCCAACAGAUCGAGAAAAAAUUAUGCUAGGUACGCCAUGACCAGUAAAGAGGUACUCCUCAACACCCCAGCAGCCAAACGAGCAAGGGUCAGGCAAGUGCCAAUCAUGUGGACGGAUGAGGAUGAGGAAGGGAUUCUAUACCCCCAUGAGGAUGCUUUAGUCAUCAAGGCUACUGUCGCUAGCAAGAAGUUUGACCGGAUACUGAUUGAUACAGGGAGCUCAGUUGAUGUGUUAUUUAAGUCAACCCUGGAAGAGAUGGGAAUAGCCGACCGGAAGUUGGAAUAUACCAAUACCUCCUUGAAGGGGUUCGGAGGAGGGAAGCUGGUCCCUCUGGGCGUGGUCGAGCUGCCUAUCACAAUUGGGAGCUCCCCGACAGAAAGAACAAUGAUACUGGACUUUGUCGUAGUGGAUGAGGAAGGUCCUUACCAGAUGAUCCUAGGUCGGCCAUUUUUAAGGAUGAGCAAAGCGGUGUUGUCCAAUCAUUAUCUGGCUCUGAAGUACCGGGUGAACGGGGUAGUAGGAGUGGUACGAGGAGACCAGAGGAUCGCAAGAAGCUGCUACUCCUCGGCAGCAAGGGAAGCAAUGCAGAUAACAUCCCUCGAUACCCGAGUGGAAAACAAGAAGGGCAGACAAGAACCUGUAGAGGAUCUGGAAACAGUAAGCCUGGGACCAGAGAACCCGGGAAAGAUGAUCAGAAUCGGGUCGAGACUUAAGGGAGAGCAAAAGCAGGAGUUGGUGAAAUGCUUACAGGCUCAUGCUGAUGUGUUUGCUUGGACACAUGAAGACAUGCCAGGGAUUGACCCUGAGGUAGCAUGUCAUAAGCUGGCAAUAAAGAAAGGUGCUCGGGCAGUAAGGCAGAAGAGGAGGUGUUUCAACCAGGAGAGGUAUGAGGCUAUAAAUGGCGAGGUGGAGAAGCUCUUGAGAGCAGGGUUCAUUCGGGAAGUCAGUUACCCUGAGUGGAUAUCGAAUGUGGUGUUGGUAAAGAAGGCAAACGGCAAGUGGAGGAUGUGUGUGGAUUUCACAGACCUCAAUAAGGCGUGCCCAAAAGACAGCUUCCCUUUACCAAAGAUCGAUCAGCUAGUAGAUUCAACGGCUGGACAUGGUCUGCUUAGCUUCAUGGACGCGUUCUCGGGAUACAACCAGAUCCCCAUGUACGAGCAGGAUGAGGAGAGCACGGCUUUCAUCACUAACCAAGGUUUGUUCUGUUACAGGGUAAUGCCAUUCGGUCUCAAAAAUGCCGGGGCCACCUAUCAAAGGCUGGUGAACAAAGUCUUUAAGCCGUUGAUUGGGAAAACCAUGGAGGUGUACGUGGAUGACAUGAUCACCAAGUCCAAAAUCCCGGAGGAACAUGUCAGACACCUCGAGGAGACAUUCGAGCUUUUGAGGAAGUAUAAGAUGAAGCUCAACCCGGAGAAGUGUGCUUUUGGGGUCGAGUCGGGGAAAUUCCUUGGAUUCAUGGUGAGCCAUAGGGGGAUUGAAGCAAAUCCCGAGAAAAUCCAGGCGAUUGUGCAAAUGACGUCUCCCCGUAACCUGAAGGAGAUGCAGAGCCUCACGGGGAGGUUGGCGGCGUUGAGCAGAUUCAUAGCCAAGGCUACAGAUAAGUGUCAGCCGUUCUUUCAAGUGAUGAGGAGGGGAAAGAAAACAGAAUGGACCUCAGAAUGCGAGGAAGCCUUCCGGAACUUGAAGCAAUACUUGCAGCAAGCUCCGCUGCUGUCCACACCGAGGGAUGGGGACAAGUUAUAUCUGUAUUUAGCGGUAUCGGCUCGGGCCGUCAGUUCUGUUCUGGUGAGAGAGGAAGAAGGAGUUCAGUAUCCGAUAUAUUACACCAGCAAGGCCCUGCUCGACGCUGAGACCAGAUACCCACCGUUGGAGAAAUGGGCACUUGCCCUUGUGGUUGCUGCUCGGAAGUUGAGGCCAUAUUUUCAAGCAUUCCCGGUCUUGGUAAUAACAAACCAGCCAUUGCGUCAAACUCUGCACAAGCCAGAUGCCUCUGGUCGGCUCGUCAAGUGGGCUGUAGAGCUGAGCGAGUUCGACAUAGACUAUAAGCCCCGCGCAGCGAUAAAAGCCCAGGCAAUGGCCGAUUUCGUAGCUGAAUUCACAGAGCCCGAAGUAUGCUUAGAUCAACAAGAGGCAGAUAUAGGCAAUGACGAAACUCAAGUAUGGCAGAUGUCUGUGGAUGGGUCAUCAGGGGAGCGGGGUUCAGGAGUAGGGAUUGUCUUGGAAGGCCCAGAGGGGGAGGAGAUCUCUUAUGCUGUAAAAUUGGAAUUUGCAGCCACGAAUAACCAGGCAGAGUAUGAAGCCUUGAUAGCAGGUCUGGAAUUGGCUAAGGCCGUGAAAGCAAACAAAGUUAAGAUCAGAACUGAUUCCCAGCUGGUAGCGAAUCAUGUCAGUGAAAGAUUCCAACCAAGAGAGGAGAAGAUGGGGCAGUACCUGAAGAUAGUCAAGCAGAUGAUGGGGAAGUUCGAAGCAGUGGAGGUGAUACAGAUCCCCAGGGAGCAGAAUAGUCGAGCAGACAUUUUGGCUAGGAUGGCAGCAGUAGCCGACCCAAAAAUGCCAAAGUCGGUCCCUCUGGAGGUGAAGUCCGGCCCAAGUAUCGAUCAGAAUUUGGGGGUGAUGCGGAUAGAACAAAAAUGCUCGUGGAGGGACCCGAUAGUUUCAUACCUUAGAGACGGGGUAUUACCACCAGAUAAGAUGCGAGCUCGCAAGCUUAGAGCCCAGGCCUCGAGAUACACGAUGAUUGAUGGGGUACUGUAUCGGCGAGGAUAUACACUACCGUUCCUUCGGUGUUUGGAUGAGGACGACGCGGAUUACGUACUAAGAGAAGUACACGAAGGAAUUUGCGGAAAUCAUUCUGGCGGGAGGUCCCUGGCCCAUAAGGUUCUAAGGCAGGGAUAUUUCUGGCCGACAAUGCACCAGGAUGCGCAAGAGAAGACCAGGAGUUGUGUAAGUUGCCAGAGUUUUGCAAAUUUCUCUAACCAACCACCAGAGAAGCUUACCUCCAUGACCUCCCCCUGGCCAUUUGCUCAAUGGGGAAUUGAUCUGAUCGGCCCAUUGCCAAAGGCACGGGGAGCAGCAACACAUGCAAUAGUUGCUAUAGAUUACUUCACGAAGUGGAUAGAGGUAGAAGCCCUUAGCAGGAUCACAGAGAAGAAAACAACAGACUUCGUGUGGAGAAACCUGGUCUGUCGAUACGGGAUCCCUUAUGCCUUGGUAACGGAUAAUGGCAGGCAGUUCGAUAACCACAGCUUCAGGGAUUUCUGCCAGAACCUCGGGAUAGAGCUGAAGUAUUGCUCGCCUGCUCACCCUCAAUUGAAUGGACAAGUAGAAGCAGCCAACAAGACCAUCAAGAGGCUUUUAAAAACCAGGCUUGGAGCAAAAAAGGGUGCGUGGGUUGACGAGCUGUCAGGUGUGCUAUGGGCAUACAGAACAACCCACAAAACCGCAACUGGGGAGACACCGUUCGCUUUGGCUUUCGGACAUGAAGCGGUCGUGCCGGCUGAGAUAGGAACGACCACACACCGGACAAAUCAUUUCAAUGAGCAGGAGAACGACGAGCAGAUAUGUUUGAAUCUUGAUCUGCUAACGGAAAGGUGGGAGCAAGCAGCCGAGCGAUCAGUCAUUUACCAACAGAGGGUUGCUCGGUAUUAUAACCAGAAGGUGAACAUACGGCAAUUCAGGGUCGGAGACUGGGUACUGAGAAGAGUGAAUCAGAGCACCAAAGAUUCGACUCAAGGAGUGCUGGGACCGAAUUGGGAAGGGCCAUAUAGAGUCAAGCAGAUAGCGGGACCCGGAGCUUACAGGCUGGUUCGCACGGACGGCCACGAGGUGAAACGCCCAUGGAACGCAGCACACCUCCGAAAAUACUUCCAGUAAGACUUGUUCACAUGUGAAAACUAUUUUUGCUCAUGUUCAUUACCGUUUAUCUUUCACGCUUAUUGUCCAAACAAUUUCAUGUAAGUCGAAUCCUGCCAUUAAUGGAACGUCGAGGAAUUUCUUUCGCUUGAAACCGAGAAAAUUUUCCAAGGCAUGCAAAGGCUCACCAAGUCUCAAAGCCUGUCUUAUGGCGAGACAGAAGCCAAGCAUGCCAGGAUCUGCUCGGCCACGAGAAGGCAAGCAGAAUCCCAAUCCUCGAAGAAUCCAAGGCAUGCAAAGGCUCACCAAGUCUCAAAGCCUGUCUUAUGGCGAGACAGAAGCCAAGCAUGCCAGGAUCUGCUCGGCCACGAGAAGGCAAGCAGAAUCCCAAUCCUCGAAGAAUCCAAGGCAUGCAAAGGCUCACCAAGUCUCAAAGCCUGUUUUAUGGCGAGACAGAAGCCAAGCAUGCCAGGAUCUGCUCGGCCACUAGAAGGCGAGCAGACUCCAAAGCAUUCGAAGAAAUGCCCAAGGCAUGCAAAGGCUCGACAAAGUCUCAAAGCCUGUUUUAUGGCGAGACAGAAGCCAAGCAUGCCAGGAUCUGCUCGGCCACUAGAAGGCGAGCAGACUCCAAAGCAUUCGAAGAAAUGCCCAAGGCAUGCAAAGGCUCGACAAAGUCUCAAAGCCUGUUUUAUGGCGAGACAGAAGCCAAGCAUGCCAGGAUCUGCUCGACUACUAGAAGGCGAGCAGACUCCAAAGCAUUCGAAGAAAUGCCCAAGGCAUGCAAAGGCUCGACAAAGUCUCAAAGCCUGUUUUAUGGCGAGACAGAAGCCAAGCAUGCCAGGAUCUGCUCGGCCACUAGAAGGCGAGCAGACUCCAAAGCAUUCGAAGAAAUGCCCAAGGCAUGCAAAGGCUCGACAAAGUCUCAAAGCCUGUUUUAUGGCGAGACAGAAGCCAAGCAUGCCAGGAUCUGCUCGGCCACUAGAAGGCGAGCAGACUCCAAAGCAUUCGAAGAAAUGCCCAAGGCAUGCAAAGGCUCGACAAAGUCUCAAAGCCUGUUUUAUGGCGAGACAGAAGCCAAGCAUGCCAGGAUCUGCUCGACUACUAGAAGACGAGCAGACUCCAAAGCAUUCGAAGAAAUGCCCAAGGCAUGCAAAGGCUCGACAAAGUCUCAAAGCCUGUUUUAUGGCGAGACAGAAGCCAAGCAUGCCAGGAUCUGCUCGACUACUAGAAGGCGAGCAGACUCCAAAGCAUUCGAAGAAAUGCCCAAGGCAUGCAAAGGCUCGACAAAGUCUCAAAGCCUGUUUUAUGGCGAGACAGAAGCCAAGCAUGCCAGGAUCUGCUCGACUACUAGAAGGCGAGCAGACUCCAAAGCAUUCGAAGUAAUGCCCAAGGCAUGCAAAGGCUCGACAAAGUCUCAAAGCCUGUUUUAUGGCGAGACAGAAGCCAAGCAUGCCAGGAUCUGCUCGACUACUAGAAGGCGAGCAGACUCCAAAGCAUUCGAAGUAAUGCCCAAGGCAUGCAAAGGCUCGACAAAGUCUCAAAGCCUGUUUUAUGGCGAGACAGAAGCCAAGCAUGCCAGGAUCUGCUCGACUACUAGAAGGCGAGCAGACUCCAAAGCAUUCGAAGUAAUGCCCAAGGCAUGCAAAGACUCACCAAGUCUCAAAGCCUGUUUUAUGGCGAGGCAGAAGCCAAACGUGCCAGGAUCUGCUCGACCACUAGAAGGCGAGCAGUCUCCAAAGCAUUCGAAGAAUCUCCAAAGGCAUGUGGCAAAACCAUGAGCCAAGCCGGAACCUGCUCGUCUAGACAGAGACAAGCAGAUUCUCAACCGAAAAUUAAUUCAUAAUUACAUCACAAGAAAGUAAUCAAAAACCAUUUUUAUUAAUUUGUUAAUAAUUAACAGAGGGGAUAAUCUUCAUGAACAUUGUUCAUUACAAUACAAGAAAUAUAUCAGGAAGAUGGUGGACCAGUAAGCCCGGCAGCAUCGGUUGGCUGGACCUCCUCAGGUGCAGGAGGGGUAUCACCAGUUGCGUCCGGGGGGUGCUCGCCUCGCCAACAUCAGCAGGGACUGCACGAGCAGGAGAGUCUUCCUCCUCAAUCACGAUCGGCUCUACCCCAUCGGCAUCUUCCUUGGCCGCCUCCUCAUCCAUAUGUUGAGCAACACCAGCUGCAAGGUCAUCCAUCUUCAGAUCAGGGUGUUGCUUCCCGAGGACGGCCAUGAUGCAACGAUAGGAAUGCCGAAGUCCCUGGUCGUACUGGUUGUCAGCCUCCCUCUCCAAGUUCUCGACCUGAGCUCGGUGGGAGUCGCGGAGAGAUUCGAGCUGAGCCUCAUACAUAGCCUUCUGCCUUUGCAGAUCCUCCUUGACCGUGGUAAGCUCCUCCUCGAGGGAAAUGGCUUUUGCUUGAGCAAGUGAUUCUUGCUCUAUUAACUUCAGAUUCUCGAGAUUCAGCUCCCCUGCUUUCUUCUCGGCAACGUCAGCUCUGGUCGUCGCCGAUUGAAUAUCCUCCUUCAUCUUCCGGUCGUAGCGGCCAACCUUAGCCUUGUAAUAGGUGGUCAUGCAGCUGAGGUGGAAAGCGCUAUGCUGCAUGGCCCCCACCAGCUCACCCAAGGUGCGGCCGUCAAAGUCCUCCAAGUCCUUCUUGCUCAUGAGUUUAGUUAACUCAUUGAGGUAGGGGACCAGGUGUUCUGCUCGGCUGUCAGGUAAGCGAGAUCGAGGCCCGACAGGAGGAAAAGAGGAAGCAGGAUCUGUAGCUGCUCCACUAGCUUCCCCGACUUUUACAGGAGCAGGAGGUAAAAUCUUCAAGGGUGGGACCUGCUGCAUGAUGUUGGCCCGCUUUGCAGCAGGGGCAUUCUUAUUCUGGUCCCUCUUCGUGGUGGGAGGUCGGGAACGUUUUCGGGUCAGAGCCCCAAUCACAGCGUCCUCCAUCCUAUGGCCAGGAAGUAUCAAGCGAGACUCGAGCAAGUUGUAUGUAGUUAGCAGUUCUCGGCUCGAGCAGGAAUUGGCUAGUACAGCCUCGACCCGUUUGAGCUGGUCAGGUUCAAGCGGGAAGUGGACACCCCAAGAAACUACAACACAAACAGACACUUGGUUAGAGACAAGCCAAUAAAGCAAGAACAAUUAUGGAUGCAAGACAUCUAGAGCGAGCAGGCAACCUGGGACCGUGAAACGGGGUGGGACGCGACAAUCCUUCCCGCCUAUUUGUGCAACUUGACCCCAAGGACCCCCAGCAAAAAAGAAUUUCCUCUUCCAAGCCCCACCACCACCGGUUGGAAGAUCGGUUAUGGAUUUCCGGCUCUUGGUGCUAGAUUGGAAGUAGUACCAGCCGGCAUCUUUGGGGCUGCUCUUUAGCUGGUACAAGUGCUUCACCUCGUCAACCGUGGGCUCGCUUUGGCAACAUCUGUCCCACAAUAUGAACAGACCAGAGAGCACUCUCCACCCAUUGGGAUUCAGCUGACCAGGAGCUAGAUUUAGCCCGUUAAGUAUCCGGGCAAAGUAGGGUUGCAAGGGACACCUCAGCCCGUACUUAAAGCUCUCUAGAAACAGGGUAACGUAUCCCCUAGGAGGCCGGCUGGGAGCAUCCUUCUUUCCUGGGACCUUGAGAGGUAUCUCACCAGGAAUGCUAUACCUAAGCUGGAGGUCAUUGAGCUCGUCAAACAAGGUCGUGCACGUCAUGUAAUCAAUGGCAUAAUCGCGCGACAAGGCUCUGCCUCCUACUGUACCCCGUUCCUCUAGUCGUGAUGUUCCAGAUGGAGACACCUCACCAGAGUCACCUUCCCCAUUCUCACUUAAGGUGUCCUCAGAGCCAGAAGGUCCCCCCUCACCAUUGCUUCCGCUCGUGGAGGUUGUUUGGGGGGACAUCCUCCUAGCACUAGUCCCGACACUAAACCUAAUGGGUUCUAAGGGGAUCCCGGGGUCAAAAGCCGGAUCAGUGAGCAGACUAGGCAGGAAACUUAGUUCGUCGUCAUCAAUCUCAACGACUUUCUCCUUACCUUUCGACAUUCCCUAAGCCCUAACCACAACACCACCAACUACUACCUAAACAGAAGAGAAGAGAAAUUAUCUACAACUAUCCGAGACCAAGGAGAUAGAAGAAAUACCUGAAGUAAUGGUUCAGUCGGUGAAAGUCAGAGAUGGAGGCCUUUUAUGCCGGAACUUCUUUGCCGGAGAAACAGAGACGGAGACGGAGUGAAUGAUGAAUAUGCCGUUCGAGAGGAUUUGGUUUUCCUAAUGAAGACGGACUCUUGGGUUGCCAGCAUUUAACGGCGCCGAAUCCCGAGGGUCUCAUAACCGUCGGUUUGAAAUUCAAAUGAAGGGGGGGAUUUCUGCCACGUCACCUCGUCCGCAAUUAAAUGCGACAUGACUCUUGGCAGCCUUUUCCAAUCCCACGCGGGCGAGUACUAACGAGUUUCUACUGCUGGUCCACUACAUUACCCAACACCAGAAACUGGGGGACCGGUGUUUGGGAGAAAUACGUCGAUGAGACCAGGCAUGGUGAGCAGAUAUCUGAUGGCAGAGUUCUGCGAACCGGUGUGUUCCGUAAAAGCCUGGUGCACGGGGGAACAUGAGCAGAAGUAUCCUGCUCGUCCACGAGCACGUCAUCCGCGAGGCAAAUUUCCUGUAAGAGGCAUAAGGUCAUUCCGGCUAGAGGUCGAGAGGCGAGGAGACCCGGUCGACGGCAGUUGGCAAGACAUGCUCCCCAGCCCGAGAAUCUAGGCACGACAGCCACGCUUUCCCCAGAACUGUGGCGUAACACGCAAGAUCUCACAGAACCACGACAGCCACGCUUUCCCCAGAACCGUGGCGUAACACGCAAGAUCUCACAGAACCACGACAGCCACGCUUUCCCCAGAACCGUGGCAUAACACGCAAGAUCUCACAGAACCACGACAGCCACGCUUUCCCCAGAACCGUGGCGUAACACGCAAGAUCUCACAGAACCACGACAGCCACGCUUUCCCCAGAACCGUGGCGUAACACGCAAGAUCCCACGUUUGCCCAUAACGCAGCAGUCAGAGUCCCAUACCGUCUCAGAAAAAGCGGAAAACUGGGAUUCAGGGGAAGCCUAUAAAAAGGUAGCCAACGAAGGUAAAAGGGUUGGCAUUUUUGAGAUUAUAAAAGAAAUGAAAAAAGAAGAGAAAACGACGAAAAAGCCAUAAGAUCUGUGGCAAGUGUCCCCCGAACCUUCAUAUCUGACUUGAGCGUCGGAGGGUUUGCGCCGGGAAAACAACCGGCGUACUCUGACUUGUCUGUGUGCGCAGGAACCUCUGGAGAAGAAGCCUCACGUGGAGACCUCCUGGUCGUGAAGAAGUUGAUCGGGCAGAGAUCCUGGUCGUAGAACGAGGAGAACCGGAAUCCCGCAUCAACAGAACUUGUACUUGUCCUGUGAUCCGUACAUGCGACCACGAAUGACCUACAUCGAAGGAUCUUACGUUGAAUCCUUUAAACCUGGCUUG